rnacentral:rRNA from 1 species
GACGAACGCUGGCGGCGUGCUUAACACAUGCAAGUCGAACGAUGAAACCUAGCUUGCUAGGUCGAUUAGUGGCGAACGGGUGAGUAACACGUGACUAACCUGCCCCUUUCUCUGGGAUAACGCUCCGAAAGGAGUGCUAAUACCGGAUACUCACAUCGAGGCACAUGCCUUGGUGUGGAAAGUUUUUCGGAAAGGGAUGGAGUCGCGGCCUAUCAGCUUGUUGGUGAGGUAACGGCUCACCAAGGCGACGACGGGUAGCCGGCCUGAGAGGGCGACCGGCCACACUAGGACUGAGACACGGCCCAGACUCCUACGGGAGGCAGCAGUGGGGAAUAUUGCGCAAUGGGCGAAAGCCUGACGCAGCGACGCCGCGUGAGGGAUGAAGGUCUUCGGAUCGUAAACCUCUUUCAGUAGGGACGAAGCGAAAGUGACGGUACCUAAAGAAGAAGCACCGGCUAACUACGUGCCAGCCGCCGCUGUAA